rnacentral:rRNA from 1 species
UACGUAGGGUGCGAGCGUUGCCCGGAUUUAUUGGGCGUAAAGGGCGCGUAGGCGGCUCGGCACGUCCGUUGUGAAAUCGCCCGGCUCAACUGGGCGGGGUCAGCGGAUACGGUCGAGCUCGAGCAAGCUAGGGGGCAAUGGAAUUCCCGGUGUAGUGGUGGAAUGCGUAGAUAUCUGGAGGAACACCGGUGGCGAAGGCGGCAUCCUGGACCGGUAUUGACGCUGAUGCGCGAAAGCCAGGGGAGCAAACGGG